rnacentral:lncRNA from 1 species
UUAUAAAUAAAAUUGAAGUUUUAGAAAAAGAAAAUAAAUUUUUAGAAAAGACAUUGUUGAUUUCAAAAAUAAAAUCAAGGAAUUGAAUGAAGCCACUUCUAUUGAUAAAUGUUCUAAUUGUUCCUCUUGUAGUUUUUUAAAAUUAGAGAACAUAGAACUUAGGAACGCACUAGAAAAACGUAGUGUUAAUAGUCCUAAAAUUGAAGAGAAUAAAAAGGAUAUAAGUAAUGAGGUCGGACCAUCUAGAAAGAAUUCUAGGAACCUCACUAAUGAGUCUAAGAUUAAUUGUUUUAGACCACCUAGAAAAAGAAUUCUAGGAACCUCACAAAUGAGUCUAAGAUUAAUUAUUAUAGACAACCUAGAAACAACUCUAGGACUUUUGUAAAUGGGUCUAGAAUGAAUAAUUUUAGACCACCUAGACAUGACUAUAGGAAAUUCAACGGUUCUAGGGGAAACAACUUUAGAUCACCUAGAACGAAGUUGGCUCAACCUAGAAAUAUGCAUAAUCCUAAUGUUAUAUGUCACUAUUGUAAUCGGGUAGGACACAUUGCACCCGUUU